GUCCACGCCGUAAACGUUGUGCACUAGGUGUGGGAGGUAUCGACCCCUUCCGUGCCGCAGCUAACGCAUUAAGUGCACCGCCUGGGGAGUACGGUCGCAAGACUGAAACUCAAAGGAAUUGACGGGGGCCCGCACAAGCGGUGGAGCAUGUGGUUUAAUUCGAGGCAACGCGAAGAACCUUACCCAGGCUUGACAUCCCCUGACCGCCGGUGAAAGCCGGUUUCCCCUUCGGGGGCAGGGAGACAGGUGUUGCAUGGCUGUCGU
rnacentral:rRNA from 1 species